CCUACGGGAGGCAGCAGUGAGGAAUAUUGGUCAAUGGCCGGAAGGCUGAACCAGCCAUGCCGCGUGAAGGUCAGUGCCCUAUGGGCGUUAAACUUCUUUUAUAAGGGAAGAAUAAUGACUACGUGUAGUCAGAUGCCCGUACCUUAUGAAUAAGCAUCGGCUAACUCCGUGCCAGCAGCCGCGGUAAUACGGAGGAUGCGAGCGUUAUCCGGAUUUAUUGGGUUUAAUGGGUGCGUAGGCGGUAUUUUAAGUUAGUGGUAAACCGUCGGGGCUUCACCUUGAUUGGCCAUUAAAACUGGAGUACUAGAGUACAGACGAGGUAGGCGGAAUAAGUUAAGUAGCGGUGAAAUGCUUAGAUAUAACUUAGAACCCCGAUAGCGAAGGCAGCUUACCAGACUGUUACUGACGCUGAAGCACGAGAGCGUGGGUAGCGAACAGGAUUAGAUACCCCUGUAGUC
rnacentral:rRNA from 1 species